rnacentral:lncRNA from 1 species
UUUUUUGGUGUGGCGGCUCUACCGACUCACCUUCGCAGUUUGGUAUUUUUCUUCGAUCAACUUGUAGAAAACAGAAUGGUGAUUACAAUGGUGGAAAAAUUGUACGAAAUGGGAAUCGAAAAGGAGCUCGUCGGAUGCCUUUUUUAUUUUUUCUAUGGCAGCAGUGUCGGGCUUUACCCGUGAUUUUUGACUUAUCUGCCGGUCAUUUUGCUCCGAUUU